CCUACGGGUGGCAGCAGUGAGGAAUAUUGGUCAAUGGACGGAAGUCUGAACCAGCCAUGCCGCAUGCAGGAAGACGGCUCUAUGAGUUGUAAAAUGCUUUUGUACAAGGGUAAACCUGAAUACGUGUAUUCAGCUGAAAGUACUGUACGAAUAAGGAUCGGCUAACUCCGUGCCAGCAGCCGCGGUAAUACGGAGGAUCCAAGCGUUAUCCGGAUUUAUUGGGUUUAAAGGGUGCGUAGGCGGAUGAAUACGUUAGAGGUGAAAUGUCCUGGCUUAACUCGGGAACUGCCUCUAAUACUGUUGAUCUAGAGAGUAGAUGCGGUAGGCGGAAUGUAUGGUGUAGCGGGGAAAUGCUUAGAGAUCAUACAGAACACCGAUUGCGAAGGCAGCUUACCAAUCUAUAUCUGACGUUGAGGCACGAAAGCGUGGGGAGCAAACAGGAUUAGAUACCCCAGUAGUC
rnacentral:rRNA from 1 species